CCCUUUAGUGCAAUAUACAUGGCACCCCAAUCAUGUCUGAUUCGAGCGUGCUCCAAUAGUUUCUUUGAGACAGCAUAUGGAACAGCAAUUGGGUCUAUUUCCCACCUGUUUUUCUGUUCAUUGUACCAAGUCUUCGAGACCACUCUAUCUCGAUCUAGAAGAAUACGUUCCUGCAUUUGGGCCACGUACUGUUUAGCAAACUCAACAUCUUCCAAUAAAUUUCUCUUUAGGUUUGCCUUUGCUUCUUCCCUCCAUUUCUUCCAUCCAUGG
rnacentral:misc_RNA from 1 species